AUUGAACGCUGGCGGCAGGCUUAACACAUGCAAGUCGAGCGGGGAAAAGUAGCUUGCUACUUAACUUAGCGGCGGACGGGUGAGUAAUACUUAGGAAUCUGCCUAUUAGUGGGGGACAACAUUUCGAAAGGAAUGCUAAUACCGCAUACGUCCUACGGGAGAUAGCAGGGGAUCACUUGUGACCUUGCGCUAAUAGAUGAGCCUAAGUCGGAUUAGCUAGUUGGUGGGGUAAGGGCCUACCAAGGCGACGAUCUUUAGCGGGUCUGAGAGGAUGAUCCGCCACACUGGGACUGAGACACGGCCCAGACUCCUACGGGAGGCAGCAGUGGGGAAUAUUGGACAAUGGGGGGAACCUGAUCCAGCCAUGCCGCGUGUGUGAAGAAGGCCUUUUGGUUGUAAAGCACUUUAAGCGAGGAGGAGGCUACUCUAGUUAAUACCUAGAGAUAGUGGACGUUACUCGCAGAAUAAGCACCGGCUAACUCUGUGC
rnacentral:rRNA from 1 species